GUACUGAUGAAGAGUCCCAAACUAGAACGAAGCAGCUGUCCAGUAC
rnacentral:hammerhead_ribozyme from 1 species